rnacentral:rRNA from 1 species
AGCGGACGGCUGAGUAAUGGACAGGAACGUACCCGGAAGUGGGGAUAGCCAUCGAAAGAUGGGGUAAUACCGCAUGUGAUCGCAAGAUCAAAGCCGCAAGGCGCUACCGGAGCGGCCUGUUUCCUAUCAGGUAGGUUGGGUGGGGUAAAUGCCUACCAAGCCUAUGACGGGUAACUGGUCUGAGAGGAUGACCAGUCAGAUCGGAACUGAGACACGGUCCGA